rnacentral:rRNA from 1 species
AUGGGCGGAAGCUGAUGCAGCAACGCCGCGUGCGGGAUGACGGCCUUCGGGUUGUAAACCGCUUUCACCCAUGACGAAGCGCGAGUGACGGUAGUGGGGGAAGAAGCACCGGCCAACUACGUGCCAGCAGCCGCGGUGAUACGUAGGGUGCGAGCGUUGUCCGGAAUUAUUGGGCGUAAAGAGCUUGUAGGCGGUUGAUCGCGUCGAUAGUGAAAUCCCGGGGCUCAACCUCGGGCUUGCUGUCGAUACGGGUUGACUUGAGGAAGGUAGGGGAGAAUGGAACUCCCGGUGGAGCGGUGGAAUGCGCAGAUAUCGGGAAGAACACCGGUGGCGAAGGCGGUUCUCUGGACCUUUCCUGACGCUGAGAAGCGAAAGCGUGGGGAGCAAGCAGGCUUAGAUACCCUGGUAGUCCACGCUGUAAACGGUGGGUACUAGGUGUGGGUCGCAUUCCACGUGAUCCGUGCCGUAGCCAACGCAUUAAGUACCCCGCCUGGGGAGUACGGCCGCAAGGCUAAAACUCAAAGGAAUUGACGGGGGCCCGCACAAGCGGCGGAGCAUGCGGAUUAAUUCGAUGCAACGCGAAGAACCUUAC